UGCCCCAUGGCUGAGUUGGUUACAGCGUCCGACUGUUAUCGCAUGUGCACUGUUCUGUGAAAUGACAUCGGAAGGUCGUGAGUUCGAGCCUCACUGGGGCAG
rfam:Ceriporiopsis subvermispora B unplaced genomic scaffold CERSTscaffold_14, whole genome shotgun sequence.